AUGCUGUCUCCCAUGUAUGCAGACAGCUCAGUCAUCAUGGAGAGAGCGCCGCCCUUGCGGAAAGGAGGGAGAGUGCAACCUCAGGGCCACAGACUGCGCUCUCAUCCUCCCACCAGCGGAAGCAGUGUUUGUGCCAACCCCACCUACUUUCAUACUGUGUAUGACAUGAAUGAUGAAGCAAGCCCAGUUGACUCGUUUGACUAUAGCAAAACCAAUGGAGGGGAAACCGUAGUGACGGAUGGGACGCUUUACUCUUUGAUGCCCAGUGACUCUCUGGUUCCUCCUAUCAGACGGAGAGGAGGCCUAGUUGACCACCGUGAUGUCAUCAAGGCACACCAAUCCCAUAAACUGCAGAGCACUCCACAGGCACAACGGAAACAAUGGGAGGCAGGUCAUGUUGGUGUGUUUGUGGAGAGUGUGUGUAUGGUAUGGACACACUGAAGGACACCGUGAUGACCCCUGCUUCACUUGGACCCUGUGUGUGCAGUUGUGUCUGAAAGCAGUAAGUGAAUGUGAACACCUUGAGCUCUAGUGAAAUAUAUUGCUUGAAAUCAGGAAUGGAAAGAGAACAAAUUCAGACCAAGAUGGAAACGUAAUAAGCCAAAAAGGACAGUGGUGGUGAUGGUGUGUUUGCCAAAGAUGUUUUUGUUGUAGUGACGUAAAAAGCCUGUUUAUAUUCUUGUUUUGUAAUUAGAGGGUACAUGCACCUCACAAAUUUGUCAGCCUCAGUCAAAUCCUCUGCUGACUUUAGCUUAUAAUUGGAGCCCGUCAAGAUGAUGUGUGUAUUUCUGUGCAUCUAGCAGCACCAAACAGAAUAGCAAAAAUCACGUUAUGUAACUAGAAAAAAAUAGCUGUUUAUUACUUUAUAUUUACUUUAUACUUUAUAUAAUAUUUCAUUUUAUAUUUGAGCUAUAGUGAAUACACUAUUUAUAUCUGUUUGUGUCAGGAUAUAAACAUAAUUUUAUAUUUAAAUAUAUACAGUAUAAAAAUGGAGUGGCUUAUUUGUAGUAUUUGUGCUAAUGUUAAGGUGGAAAACUAUUUAGGAACUAUUUAGGUAAAUUUGUCUCCUCCUUUCCCAGAAACAACUACAAAUACUUAUACGCUCUGUUUCAGGUCUCUGGUGUGUAGAAAAAUAUGGCGUGUGUUUUUAUGUGUUUGCGUCACGGUGGGACCAAGUGAACAGUGAAUGUAGAGUGGCAGUGGAAUCAAGUCACGAUUUCUGUUGCACUUUAGGGGUGUGGAGGCUUCCACUCUCAUCGCUCACCCACUCAAUCUGGCAGCCGUAGCAGCGGGGAGACGCGAGAUAACAG
rnacentral:lncRNA from 1 species